rnacentral:rRNA from 1 species
CCUACGGGAGGCGGCAGUGGGGAAUAUUGGACAAUGGGCGAAAGCCUGAUCCAGCAAUGCCGCGUGAGUGAUGAAGGCCUUAGGGUCGUAAAGCUCUUUUACCAGGGAUGAUAAUGACAGUACCUGGAGAAUAAGCUCCGGCUAACUCCGUGCCAGCAGCCGCGGUAAUACGGAGGGAGCUAGCGUUGUUCGGAAUUACUGGGCGUAAAGCGUGCGUAGGCGGUUAUUCAAGUCAGAGGUGAAAGCCCGGGGCUCAACCCCGGAACGGCCUUUGAAACUAGAUAACUAGAAUCUUGGAGAGGUCAGUGGAAUUCCGAGUGUAGAGGUGAAAUUCGUAGAUAUUCGGAAGAACACCAGUGGCGAAGGCGACUGACUGGACAAGUAUUGACGCUGAGGUACGAAAGCGUGGGGAGCAAACAGGAUUAGAUACCCUGGUAGUCCACGCCGUAAACGAUGAUAACUAGCUGUCCGGACACUUGGUGUUUGGGUGGCGCAGCUAACGCAUUAAGUUAUCCGCCCGGGGAGUACGGUCGCAAGNUUAAAACUUAAAGGAAUUGACGG